rnacentral:rRNA from 1 species
UCAAGUAAUUAAGUGCAUGUGGUGGAUGCCUUGGCAGUCAGAGGCGAUGAAAGACGUGAUAGCCUGCGAAAAGCUCCGGGGAGGCGGCAAAUAUCCUUUGAUCCGGAGAUGUCUGAAUGGGGGAACCCACCUACUUUAAGGUAGGUAUUGCAACAUGAAUACAUAGUGUUGCAAGGCGAACGAGGGGAAGUGAAACAUCUCAGUACCCUUAGGAAAAGAAAUCAAUUGAGAUUCCCUCAGUAGCGGCGAGCGAACGGGGAUCAGCCCAUUAAGUUAUGUGUGUUUUAGUGGAACGCUCUGGGAAGUGCGAACGUAGAGGGUGAUAUUCCCGUACACGAAAGGGCACACAUAAUGAUGACGAGUAGGGCGAGGCACGUGAAACCUUGUCUGAAUAUGGGGGGACCAUCCUCCAAGGCUAAAUACUCCUGACUGACCGAUAGUGAACCAGUACCGUGAGGGAAAGGCGAAAAGAACCCCUGUGAGGGGAGUGAAAUAGAUCCUGAAACCGCAUGCAUACAAGCAGUGGGAGCACCUUCGUGGUGUGACUGCGUACCUUUUGUAUAAUGGGUCAGCGACUUAUAUUCAGUAGCGAGGUUAACCGUAUAGGGGAGCCGUAGAGAAAUCGAGUCUUAAUAGGGCGUUUAGUUGCUGGGUAUAGACCCGAAACCAGGCGAUCUAUCCAUGAGCAGGUUGAAGGUUGGGUAACACUAACUGGAGGACCGAACCCACUGUCGUUGAAAAGCCAGGGGAUGACUUGUGGAUAGGGGUGAAAGGCUAAUCAAGCCUGGUGAUAGCUGGUUCUCCCCGAAAGCUAUUUAGGUAGCGCCUCGGACGAAUACCAUAGGGGGUAGAGCACUGUUUCGGCUAGGGGGUCAUCCCGACUUACCAAACCGAUGCAAACUCCGAAUACCUAUGAGUACUAUCCGGGAGACAGACUGCGGGUGCUAACGUCCGUAGUCAAGAGGAAAACAAUCCAGACCGCCAGCUAAGGCCCCAAAAUCAUAGUUAAGUGGGAAACGAUGUGGGAAGGCAUAGACAGCUAGGAGGUUGGCUUAGAAGCAGCCACCCUUUAAAGAAAGCGUAAUAGCUCACUAGUCGAGUCGGCCUGCGCGGAAGAUGUAACGGGGCUAAAACUAUGUGCCGAAGCUGCGGAUGUAUACUUUGUAUACGUGGUAGGGGAGCGUUCUGUAAGCCGAUGAAGGUGUGUUGAGAAGCAUGCUGGAGGUAUCAGAAGUGCGAAUGCUGACGUGAGUAACGACAAAACGGGUGAAAAACCCGUUCGCCGAAAGACCAAGGGUUCCAGUCCAACGUUAAUCGGGGCUGGGUGAGUCGACCCCUAAGGCGAGGCCGAAAGGCGUAGUCGAUGGGAAAAUGGUUAAUAUUCCAUUACUUCUGUGUAAUGCGAUGAGAGGACGGAGAAGGCUAAAUCAGCCUGGCGUUGGUUGUCCAGGUGAAAGGAUGUAGGCAUGUAUCUUAGGCAAAUCCGGGGUACUCUAUGCUGAGAUCUGAUAGCAAGCUGUACUUGUACAGCGAAGUGGUUGAUGCCAUGCUUCCAGGAAAAGUCUCUAAGCUUCAGUUACACAGGAAUCGUACCCGAAACCGACACAGGUGGUCAGGUCGAGUAGACCAAGGCGCUUGAGAGAACUCUGCUGAAGGAACUAGGCAAAAUGGUACCGUAACUUCGGGAGAAGGUACGCUGUUGUUGGUGAUGGAACUCGCUUCCUGAGCUGACGACAGCCGCAGAAACCAGGCCGCUGCAACUGUUUAUUAAAAACAUAGCACUCUGCAAACACGAAAGUGGACGUAUAGGGUGUGAUGCCUGCCCGGUGCUGGAAGGUUAAUUGAUGGGGUUAGCGUAAGCGAAGCUCUUGAUCGAAGCCCCAGUAAACGGCGGCCGUAACUAUAACGGUCCUAAGGUAGCGAAAUUCCUUGUCGGGUAAGUUCCGACCUGCACGAAUGGCAUAAUGAUGGCGGCGCUGUCUCCAGCAGAGGCUCAGUGAAAUCGAAAUCGCUGUGAAGAUGCAGUGUACCCGCGGCUAGACGGAAAGACCCCGUGAACCUUUACUGCAGCUUGACACUGAACUUUGACCUUACUUGUGUAGGAUAGGUGGGAGGCUUUGAAGCUGGAACGCUAGUUCCAGUGGAGCCGUCCUUGAAAUACCACCCUGGUAAUGUUGAGGUUCUAACUCUGUCCCGUGAUCCGGGACGAGGACCGUGUCUGGUGGGUAGUUUGACUGGGGCGGUCUCCUCCUAAAGAGUAACGGAGGAGUACGAAGGUGCGCUCAGCGUGGUCGGAAAUCACGCGUAGAGUAUAAAGGCAAAAGCGCGCUUAACUGCGAGACCCACAAGUCGAGCAGGUACGAAAGUAGGUCUUAGUGAUCCGGUGGUUCUGUAUGGAAGGGCCAUCGCUCAACGGAUAAAAGGUACUCUGGGGAUAACAGGCUGAUACCGCCCAAGAGUUCAUAUCGACGGCGGUGUUUGGCACCUCGAUGUCGGCUCAUCUCAUCCUGGGGCUGAAGCAGGUCCCAAGGGUAUGGCUGUUCGCCAUUUAAAGAGGUACGCGAGCUGGGUUUAGAACGUCGUGAGACAGUUCGGUCCCUAUCUACCGUGGGCGCUGGAAAUUUGAGAGGAUCUGCUCCUAGUACGAGAGGACCAGAGUGGACGAACCUCUGGUGUACCGGUUGUGACGCCAGUCGCAUCGCCGGGUAGCUAUGUUCGGAAGGGAUAACCGCUGAAAGCAUCUAAGCGGGAAGCCUACCUCAAGAUAAGAUUUCCCUAGGACUUUAUGUCCUCUAAAGAGCCGUUCGAGACUAGGACGUUGAUAGGUUGGAUGUGGAAGCAUAGGGAUAUGUGAAGCUGACCAAUACUAAUUGCUCGUGAGGCUUGACUAU